rnacentral:lncRNA from 1 species
AUGGAUAAACAAAUGAUAAAGAUUGGCUUAUUGAAUAUCAGAUCCAUUUCUACGAAAACACUUUUUGUAAAUAAUAUGAUAACUGAUCAUAAUAUAGAUGUGCUCUGUUUGACAGAAACUUGGCUAAAACCUGAUGUUUACAUUAUUUUAAAUGAGUCCACCCCCCAAGAUUAUUGUUAUAAACACGAGCCGCGUCUAAAAGGCAAAGGGGGAGGAGUUGCUUCAAUUUAUAACAACGUUUUCAGGAUUUCUCAGAGGGCAGGCUUCAAGUAUAACUCGUUUGAAGUAAUGGUGCUUCAUAUAACAUUAUCCAGAGAAACCAAUGUUAAUGAUAAAUCCCCUGUUAUGUUUGUACUGGCUACUGUAUACAGGCCACCAGGGCACCAUACAGACUUUAUUAAAGAGUUUGGUGAUUUUACAUCCGAGUUAGUUCUGGCUGCAGAUAAAGUCUUAAUAGUUGGUGAUUUUAAUAUCCAUGUCGAUAAUGAAAAAGAUGCAUUGGGAUCAGCAUUUAUAGACAUUCUGAACUCUAUUGGUGUUAGACAACAUGUUUCAGGACCUACUCAUUGUCGAAAUCAUACUCUAGAUUUAAUACUGUCACAUGGAAUUGAUGUUGAUAGUGUUGAAAUUAUUCAGCCAAGUGAUGAUAUCUCAGAUCAUUAUUUAGUUCUGUGUAAACUUCAUAUAGACAAAAUUGUAAAUUCUACUUCUUGUUACAAGUAUCGAAGAACCAUCACUUCUACCACAAAAGACUGCUUUUUAAGUUAUCUUCCUGAUGUAUCCGAAUUCCUUAGCAUAUCCAAAACCUCAGAACAACUUGAUGAUGUAACAGAAACUAUGGACUCUCUCUUUUCUAGCACUUUAAAUAAAGUUGCUCCUUUACGCUUAAGGAAGGUUAAGGAAAACAGUUUGACACCAUGGUAUAAUGAGCAUACUCGCACCCUAAAGAGAGCAGCCCGAAAAAUGGAGCGCAGCUGGAGGAAAACAAAACUAGAGGUAUUUCGUAUUGCUUGGCGGGAAAGUAGCAUAUCCUAUAGAAAAGCAUUAAAAACUGCUAGAUCUGAUUACUUUUCUUCUCUUUUAGAAGAAAACAAACAUAACCCCAGGUAUUUAUUCAAUACAGUGGCUAAAUUAACGAAAAAUAAAGCCUCAACAAGUGUUGACAUUUCUCAACACCACAACAGUAAUGACUUUAUGAACUACUUUACUUCUAAAAUCGAUACUAUUAGAGAUAAAAUUGCAACCAUUCAGCCGUCAGCUACCGUAAUAUCAGACAGUGCACUAUAG